AUUGAACGCUGGCGGCAGGCCUAACACAUGCAAGUCGAGCGAGCGGCGGAUGGGUGAGUAAUGUCUGGGAAACUGCCUGAUGGAGGGGGAUAACUACUGGAAACGGUAGCUAAUACCGCAUACCCUCAGAUGUGCCCAGAUGGGAUUAGCUCGUAGGUGGGGUAAUGGCCAACCUAGGCGACCAUCCCUAGCUGGUCUGAGAGGAUGACCAGCCACACUGGAACUGAGACACGGUGCAGACUCCUACGGGAGGCAGCAGGGGGGAAUAUUGCACAAUGGGCGCAAGCCUGAUGCAGCCAUGCCGCGUGUGUGAAGAAGGCCUUAGGGUUGUAAAGCACUUUCAGCGGGGAUGCGUUACCCGCAGAAGAAGCACCGGCUAACUCCGUGCCAGCCGCCGCGGUAAUAC
rnacentral:rRNA from 1 species